rnacentral:lncRNA from 12 species
UUGGUUAUGGUGAGGUCACUUUCCUUUAGCCGGGUGGAGGAGGCCUAUCAGGCCGAUUACUUCACUUCUGCUGAUUAGGCAAUUCCUGACUGUGGUUUAAAAUUUCCUUUCUGGGAGAGCUGAAACUAGAAUUGAGUUGUCUCAGUUUUGGUAAUGUGGGGCUCAGCAUAAGUGAUUCCAUUCUGGGCCCAUUGUCUUUUUUUUUUUUUUUUUUUAGUAAUAACCAAGUUUGACCUGUUUUGCACUGGACAUUGCAAACCUGUCUUGUGACUCCAUUUCCUCUGGCCAUAGUGGAGAUUCUCUGGGUCGUGGUGGUCGUGAGCUCUAAAGACCAACUGCGCGGGGAUCUCAUGUGGAGGAGAGAGAGUGUCUACAUCCUGUUUUUAUGGUGAAGGAACAUAUUUUAAUACAGUGAAAACUCUCUGCCUCAGGUGAGGCUAAAUCCUGAGA